rnacentral:rRNA from 1 species
AAUCCAGGCCCUACGGGGUGCAGCAGGCGCGAAAACUUUACAAUGCUGGAAACAGCGAUAAGGGAACCUCGAGUGCCAGGUUACAAAUCUGGCUGUCGUGAUGCCUAAAAAGCAUUGCAUAGCAAGGGCCGGGCAAGACCGGUGCCAGCCGCCGCGGUAACACCGGCGGCUCGAGUGGUAACCGUUAUUAUUGGGUCUAAAGGGUCUGUAGCCGGCCGGAUAAGUCUCUUGGGGAAUCUGGCAGCUUAACUGUCAGGCUUUCAGGAGAUACUGUCUGGCUCGAGGCCGGGAGAGGUGAGAGGUACUUCAGGGGUAGGGGUGAAAUCUUGUAAUCCUUGAAGGACCACCAGUGGCGAAGGCGUCUCACCAGAACGGACCUGACGGCAAGGGACGAAAGCUAGGGGCACGAACCGGAUUAGAUACCCGGGUAGUCCUAGCCGUAAACGAUACUCGCUAGGUGUCGGCCACGGUGCGACCGUGGUCGGUGCCGUAGGGAAGCCGUGAAGCGAGCCACCUGGGAAGUACGGCCGCGAGGCUGAAACUUAAAGGAAUUGGCGGGGGAGCAC